AUUGUACUCCCUCCGUUCGGAAUUACUUGUCUCGAAAAUGGAUGUAUCUAAAACUAGAUACAUCCAUUUUCGAGACAAGUAAUUCCGAACGGAAGGAGUAGAAU
rfam:Triticum aestivum genome assembly, contig: Triticum_aestivum_CS42_TGACv1_scaffold_030819_1BL